GAAUAUUGGACAAUGGGCGGGAGCCUGAUCCAGCCAUGCCGCGUGCAGGAAGACUGCCCUAUGGGUUGUAAACUGCUUUUGUACGGGAAGAAACACCCCCUCGUGAGGGGGCUUGACGGUACCGUAAGAAUAAGGAUCGGCUAACUCCGUGCCAGCAGCCGCGGUAAUACGGAGGAUCCAAGCGUUAGCCGGAAUCAUUGGGUUUAAAGGGUCCGUAGGUGGACAAUUAAGUCAGAGGUGAAAUCCUGCAGCUCAACUGUAGAAUUGCCUUUGAUACUGGUUGUCUUGAAUUAUUGUGAAGUAGUUAGAAUAUGUAGUGUAGCGGUGAAAUGCAUAGAUAUUACAUAGAAUACCGAUUGCGAAGGCAGAUUACUAACAGUACAUUGACACUGAUGGACGAAAGCGUGGGGAGCG
rnacentral:rRNA from 1 species